rnacentral:piRNA from 1 species
UGAUAAGUGAUUUGCUCCCAAGGGUGAGG